rnacentral:rRNA from 1 species
UAGGGAAUCUUCGGCAAUGGACGAAAGUCUGACCGAGCAACGCCGCGUGAGUGAAGAAGGUUUUCGGAUUGUAAAACUCUGUUGUUAGGGAAGAACAAGUACCGUUUGAAUAAGGCGGUACCUUGACGGUACCUAACGAGAAAGCCCCGGCUAACUACGUGCCAGCAGCCGCGGUAAUACGUAGGGGGCAAGCGUUGUCCGGAAUUAUUGGGCGUAAAGCGCGCGCAGGCGGUUUCUUAAGUCUGAUGUGAAAGCCCACGGCUCAACCGUGGAGGGUCAUUGGAAACUGGGGAACUUGAGUGUAGGAGAGGAAAGCGGAAUUCCACGUGUAGCGGUGAAAUGCGUAGAGAUGUGGAGGAACACCAGUGGCGAAGGCGGCUUUCUGGCCUAUAACUGACGCUGAGGCGCGAAAGCGUGGGGAGCAAACAG